UUUAAGUGCGGUUGUUGGUUUCUGUGUCAAACGCUUGACCGUGUCCGUCUUUUUUGAAAUUUUUUUAUGAUUAGUAUUUUUAUUGUUAUUAUAUAAUGAAACAUAAAUAGUAACUUAUACGUGACUUCUUUUAUUUUCUUUAUAAAUUUUUCAAAUAAAACGAACUGUUAAAUAUUAGAAAAAAAAUCCACCACUGUAUUUAAA
rfam:Oryza meridionalis cultivar OR44 (W2112) chromosome 12, whole genome shotgun sequence.